AAAGGUAAGCUACUAAGAGCGAAUGGUGGAUGCCUUGACUGGUAAAGGCGAUGAAGGACGUACUAGACUGCGAUAAGCUACGGGGAGCUGUCAAGAAGCUUUGAUCCGUAGAUUUCCGAAUGGGGCAACCCAAUGUAUAGAGAUAUACAUUACCUAUAUAGGAGCGAACGAGG
rnacentral:rRNA from 2 species